UGCUCAGCCCUUAACAUAGACAAUACAAACACAAUAUUGUCCGCCAGAGAACUACAAGUGAAAAACUAGAAACUCCAAGGACUUGGCGGUGCCCCACAUCAACCUAGAGGAGCCUGUCCUAUAAUCGAUAAUCCACGCUGUACCUUACCAUUUCUCGCAAUUCAGCCUAUAUACCGCCGUCGAAAGCCUACCUUAUGAAAGCAACAAAGUAAGCAAAAUAGUCAACAACUAAAACGUCAGGUCAAGGUGUAGCACAUGAAAUGGAAGUGAUGGGCUACAUUUUCUUCUUCAGAAAAUACGAACAGAACAAUGAAACCUGUACUCAAAGGAGGAUUUAGCAGUAAGACAAAAAAGAAACUUUGCCUUAAACCCGCUCUGGGACGCGCACACACCGCCCGUCACCCUCA
rnacentral:rRNA from 1 species